rnacentral:rRNA from 1 species
AGUCAUAUGCUUGUCUCAAAGAUUAAGCCAUGCAUGUCUAAGUAUAAAUAGUAUACAGUGAAACUGCGAAUGGCUCAUUAAAACAGUUAUAGUUUAUUUGAUAAUGGAAGAUUACAUGGAUAACCGUGGUAAUUCUAGAGCUAAUACAUGCUAUCUGCCCGACUCACGAAGGGCUGUAUUUAUUAGAUAUGAAACCAAUCCCGCAAGGGUUGUGACGAAUCACAGUAACUGAUCGAAUCGGCGCGCAAGCGGCGAUAAAUCAUUCAAGUUUCUGCCCUAUCAGCUUUCGAUGGUAGUGUAUUGGACUACCAUGGCAGUCACGGGUAACGGAGAAUUAGGGUUCGGUUCCGGAGAGGGAGCCUGAGAAACGGCUACCACAUCUAAGGAUGGCAGCAGGCGCGUAAAUUACCCAAUCCUGAUUCAGGGAGGUAGUGACAAGAAAUAACAACCUGGGAGCCUUUGGCUCUACGGGAUUGCAAUGAGAACAAUUUAGAUCACUUAGCGAGGAACAAUUGGAGGGCAAGUCUGGUGCCAGCAGCCGCGGUAAUUCCAGCUCCAAUAGCGUAUAUUAAAGUUGUUGCAGUUAAAAAGCUCGUAGUUGAAUGUCUGGUUACUGGCUGUUUCGGCUUCGGUCGGGCAGACGGUGAUCAUCCGCAUACGAAACUAGUUCGGCCUUUACUGGUUCGGCUAGGGGAGUGUGCAUUUUACUUUGAAAAAAUUAGAGUGUUUCAGGCAGGCAAUCGCUUGAAUACAUUAGCAUGGAAUAAUGGAAUAGGACUAUUGUCAAUUUUGUUGGUUAUUUGACUUUAGUAAUGAUUAAUAGGGACAGUUGGGGGCAUUAGUAUUUAAUUGUCAGAGGUGAAAUUCUUGGAUUUAUUAAAGACUAACUUAUGCGAAAGCAUUUGCCAAGGAUGUUUUCAUUAAUCAAGAACGAAAGUUAGGGGAUCAAAGACGAUCAGAUACCGUCCUAGUCUUAACUAUAAACUAUACCGACUCGGGAUCGGGUGGGAUCUUAAAGCCUGCUCGGCACCGUAGGAGAAAUCAAAGUCUUUGGGUUCUGGGGGGAGUAUGGUCGCAAGGCUGAAACUUAAAGGAAUUGACGGAAGGGCACACCAGGAGUGGAGCCUGCGGCUUAAUUUGACUCAACACGGGGAAACUUACCAGGUCAAAACAUGGGUGGGAUUGACAGAUUGAGAGCUCUUUCUUGAUUCUGUGGGUGGUGGUGCAUGGCCGUUCUUAGUUGGUGGAGUGAUUUGUCUGGUUAAUUCCGUUAACGAACGAGACCUUAACCUGCUAACUAGUGAGCCUAUGAACAAUAGGUGCCACUUCUUAGAGGGACUUCAUGUAUCAAGCAUGAGGAAGUUUGAGGCAAUAACAGGUCUGUGAUGCCCUUAGAUGUCCUGGGCCGCACGCGCGCUACAAUGACACGUGCAGAGAGUACACCCUGGUUCGAAAGAAUCCGGGUAAACUUCAUAAUACGUGUCGCGAUAGGGAUCGACCUUUGGAAUUAUAGGUCUUGAACGAGGAAUUCCUAGUAAGUGCAAGUCAUCAGCUUGUACUGAUUACGUCCCUGCCCUUUGUACACACCGCCCGUCGCUCCUACCGAUUCGAGUGAUCCGGUGAACAUUCUGGACUAGUCUGUCCUCGAGACAGAAUGGGAAGUUAAGUAAACCUUAUCACUUAGAGGAAGGAGAAGUCGUAACAAGGUUUCC